rnacentral:rRNA from 1 species
UAAUACGGAGGGGGCAAGCGUUACUCGGAAUUAUUGGGCGUAAAGGGCGCGUAGGUGGUCGCGUGCGUCGGGGGUGAAAUACCCGGGCUCAACCCGGGAACUGCCUUCGAUACGGCGUGGCUUGAGUCCGGGAGAGGGGAGCAGAAUUCCCAGUGUAGCGGUGAAAUGCGUAGAUACUGGGAGGAAUACCGGUGGCGAAGGCGGCUCCCUGGACCGGUACUGACGCUGAGGCGCGAAAGCGUGGGGAGCAAACAGGAUUAGAUACCCUGGUAGUCCACGCUGUAAACGAUGGGUGCUUGGUGUCGGGGGUAUCGACCCCUCCGGUGCCGAAGCUAACGCAUUAAGCACCCCGCCUGGGGAGUACGGUCGCAAGGCUG